GACGAACGCUGGCGGCGUGCUUAACACAUGCGAGUCGAACGGAAAGGCCCUGCUUUUGUGGGGUGCUCGAGUGGCGAACGGGUGAGUAACACGUGAGUAACCUGCCCUUGACUUUGGGAUAACUUCAGGAAACUGGGGCUAAUACCGGAUAGGAGCUCCUGCUGCAUGGUGGGGGUUGGAAAGUUUCGGCGGUUGGGGAUGGACUCGCGGCUUAUCAGCUUGUUGGUGGGGUAGUGGCUUACCAAGGCUUUGACGGGUAGCCGGCCUGAGAGGGUGACCGGCCACAUUGGGACUGAGGUACGGCCCAGACUCCUACGGGAGGCAGCAGUGGGGAAUAUUGCACAAUGGGCGGAAGCCGGAUGCAGCAACGCCGCGUGCGGGAUGACGGCCUUCGGGUUGUAAACCGCUUUCGCCUGUGACGAAGCGUGAGUGACGGUAAUGGGUAAAGAAGCACCGGCUAACUACGUG
rnacentral:rRNA from 1 species